GUAGUCUGCAACUCGACUACAUGAAGCUGGAAUCGCUAGUAAUCGCGGAUCAGAAUGCCGCGGUGAAUACGUUCCCGGGUCUUGUACACACCGCCCGUCACACCAUGGGAGUCAGUAACGCCCGAAGCCGGUGACCCAACCUAAACAGGAGGGAGCCGUCGAAGGCAGGACGGAUGACUGGGGUGAAGUCGUAACAAGGUAUC
rnacentral:rRNA from 1 species